UUGUUGGUCUCAUCGAUUGAAAAGUUAAUGGGUAUUGCCAGGUAUUUGCAUUCAUUUGAAAGAUAAAGUCCUGUGACAAACUCAAUAGAUUGUACAUGAUUUAGAAAGGGCCAUCCCUGUAUGAGCUCAUACACUUCACAGUGCAUGUCAGAGCAAAAACCAAGCCAACAAGUCCAUGAAAACUGUAGACCACCUAGACCGAAUUGCUAAGACACUUAAAAGUCUCAAGUGUUCAGUGGGCUUUGUUGUUAUGAAAUGGCAGAUGUUUGGAACUAGCUAGAUUUCCUAGAGCUGGCCAUCCGGCCAAAUUAAGUAACUGGGCAAAGAAUUGCCUUGGUCAGAGAUGUGACCAAGAACCCAGUGGCCACUCUGUAACAGUGCCUCAAACUUUCUACUGAGAUGGAAGAACCUGCCAGAAGGAUAACCAUGUCUGCUGCAUCAGUCAGACCUUUAUGGUAGUUAGAUGGAAGCAAGUAAAAAUCAUAUGACAUGCAAUCUGAAGGUCUGAUAAUGCCAACAUCAAAUUAUUACACGUAAAUGCCAAGCACUACGUCUUUCAAAAACAAGCUACUCCUCAUCACCUGCCUCAUAAUACCACCCACCACUAUGGUAAAGCAAAAUAAGGGUCUGAAGCAUACAGGUAAGAAGCUGUGAUUGCUCUAAAAAGUGUUUCUACAAAGAAUGAAGGGUCUGAACAUUUAUGUAAAAUAUAUAUUAAUUUUUUUUCUUUUCAAAAAUGUGUACAAACAUGGCCAAUUCUAGGCAUAAGCAACAUAAGUAGACUGCAGUUGUCAACAAAUGUGGACAUAUCCUUGAGCGGCAGGCCAUCCCAUGGAAAAAAAGCAUCUCAGUCAUGGUUAAGCUUUAUGUGGUGGACUGACAUUAAAAGCAGCGGCAGCCAGGAACUUUUGCAGUGUCACAGGCAGACACAGGUCACAAGGGACAUGGGAUAGAUGGUUUGAUGUAGAAGGAGAGAGCAAUGGGGAAAGAUUAUCAGUUUUGCAGUAGUGUAAGAUGUAUGUGUGGGCUGACAGUGUAAUGACUGAGGAAAGAGAGGAGACAAAAAUGGUCACACAACUUGAGUGGGUAAGUGGUGAGAUUAAUGGACACAGCAUCUAGUAAAGAUUAGAUCAAGUGCAUUGCCUGCUUUAUAAGUAGGGCUUGACCACCUGAAGGAAUAUACACUGAUCAGCCAUAACAUUAUGACCAUCUGCUUAAUAUUGUGUAGGUCCCCCUUUUGCUGCUAAAACAUCCCUGACCCAUCCCGAGGCAUGACUCAACUAGACCUCUGAAGGUGUGCUGUGGUAUCUGGCACCAAGACGUUAGCAGUCCUGUAAGUUGCAAGGUGGGGCCUCCAUGGAUUGGGGCCUCCACAUCCCACAGAUGCUCAAUUGGAUUGAGAAUUGGGGAAUUUGGAGGUCAAGUCAACACCUUGAACUCGUUGUGUUCCUCAAACCAUUCCUGAGCCAUUUUUGCUUUGUGGCAGGGCGCAUUAUCCUCCUGAAAGAGGCAAGUGCCAUCAGGGAAUACCAUUGCCAUGAAAGGGUGCACAUGGUCUGCAACAAUGCUUAGGCUUCAGGUUUGAGUGGAUAUUGUAAGGUCUGUACCCCGUUCACCUCACUCAUCUCUGGGAACCAGCGCACCUCCUAGACCUCAACCAUCCACUCCAUCUGAACACACCACUCUUCCCGCCUCACAAUCAGCUGAAUACUGAUCACUUGUGUCACUUCGUUUUCUCCCACUAUUUAGUUCAUUCACUCCCAGCUUUCCGAUUGUGAGGUAUUGAUUAUUUGUUUCCUGCAACUUUACUUAGCCCUUUCUGGAUUGAUUACAGUUUUUGGAUUUUUGUGUACCGACCUGCCCGAUCUACCUUUGACUCCGAUUCUCCAGUCUGGCUACUUUUGCCUGUCUUUUGGACUACUGUGCUUUGACCUUCUAUCUGACUGAGAUUUGGAGACCUGCCAAGCCCUUUUGAACCUCAGCCUGUAUCUGUGCCUUCCCAUGUAUGAGCCCAGCCUGUACUUCUGACCACGCUUCAGCUGUCACCUGUUAUCAAUAAAAGCAGUGCACACCGCAUGUGGAACCACAACACCUGCCUCCGUCUGGUAUCGUUACAGAUAUUGGGCCUGGAAUAGACUGUGGGGUGCCUUAGGUGUAAACCAGUUUUUUAGUUAUGUAAUUGAUGACAUCUCUUUUAGGUGUUAAAAUACAUAUUUAUAGAAAUGCAUUUCAUUUCGAAGUCACCAAUAUACUCUAACCUACUACUGUAACCUUGGUAAGACCACAACUCGCUUGUCUAAAACAGAUAUCCCUGUUACAAGUAAUUGUUAGUACAGAUGAUUUGGAAACUAAACAUUGUGGGUUCAAGACUCAAUCUGCUGAAUGUUGUGCUUUUAAAAUGCAUUCAAAAAUAUAUUACCCAAAUGUACUGUAAAAUAGAUAUAUUUAGUAUGUAUUUUCCAAUACAUUUUCAAAU
ensembl:lncRNA